rnacentral:rRNA from 1 species
UACGUAGGGACCGAGCGUUGUCCGGAAUCAUUGGGCGUAAAGAGCGUGUAGGCGGCCGCUUAAGUCCUGCGUGAAAUCUUGCGGCUCAACCGCAAGCGGUCGUGGGAAACUGGGUGGCUAGAGUGCGGGAGAGGAGAGUGGAAUUCCUGGUGUAGCGGUGGAAUGCGCAGAUAUCAGGAGGAACACCGGUGGCGAAGGCGGGUCUCUGGGCCGAUACUGACGCUGAGGAGCGAAAGCGUGGGGAGCGAACAGG